CACUUUCCUGCUUAGUUCAAUUUGCUUCUACAAGACCUUUAUUCAGCAAUCAAGAAUGUGCCAGGCAUCUUGGUAAUCUCAGCAAAGGAGCGGAACAAAUACUUGAAAAUCCACAGCACUGGGAGUUUGCUCCAAAUAGCAUUCAUUAUUUGCUAACUCUGUGGCAAAGUAUGGCAGCAUCUGUACCUUCUGUGAAAACAGCAGGACCCCACCUCUUAGGACAUCUGGCCUGGUUCGUCUACUUUGUGUGUACUUUUGUGGGGGGAGGAUUAACGUGCAGUAGCACUGAUGAACGCAAUGCAGUGGAUGGAGAAUUAUCCUGUCAGGUGUUUCAGCUGAUGUCUUUGAUGGAUGCCAUGUUACCAGUGUCUAGUAAUGAGAAAGUAGAACUGCCAAUUCUGUGGUUUUUGGAUCAGUUUUGCAAAAUGCGUGUUG
rnacentral:lncRNA from 1 species